rnacentral:rRNA from 1 species
AUUGAACGCUGGCGGCAUGCCUUACACAUGCAAGUCGAACGGUAACAGGUCUUCGGAUGCUGACGAGUGGCGAACGGGUGAGUAAUACAUCGGAACGUGCCUAGUAGUGGGGGAUAACUACUCGAAAGAGUGGCUAAUACCGCAUGAGAUCUACGGAUGAAAGCAGGGGAUCGCGAGACCUUGUGCUACUAGAGCGGCCGAUGGCAGAUUAGGUAGUUGGUGGGAUAAAAGCUUACCAAGCCGACGAUCUGUAGCUGGUCUGAGAGGACGAUCAGCCAUACUGGGACUGAGAUACGGCCCAGACUCCUACGGGAGGCAGCAGUGGGGAAUUUUGGACAAUGGGCGAAAGCCUGAUCCAGCAAUGCCGCGUGCAGGAUGAAGGCCUUCGGGUUGUAAACUGCUUUUGUACGGAACGAAAAGCCCCGGGUUAAUACCCUGGGGUCAUGACGGUACCGUAAGAAUAAGCACCGGCUAACUACGUGCCAGCCGCCGCUGUAA